GAUGAAGAACGCAGCGAAAUGCGAUAAGAAGUGUGAAUUGCAGAAUUCAGUGAAUCAUCGAAUCUUUGAACGCACAUUGCGCCCCUUGGUAUUCCAUGGGGCAUGCCUGUUCGAGCGUCAUUUGUACCUUCAAGCUUUGCUUGGUGUUGGGUGUUUGUCUCGCCUUUGCGUGUAGACUCGCCUUAAAAUAAUUGGCAGCCGGCGUAUUGAUUUCGGAGCGCAGUACAUCUCGCGCUUUGCACUCAUAACGACAGCGUCCAAAAGUACAUUUUACACUCUUGACCUCGGAUCAGGUAGGGAUACCCGCUGAACUUAAGCAUAUCAAUAAGCGGAGGA
rnacentral:misc_RNA from 1 species